rnacentral:rRNA from 1 species
AUGGCGAUGAUACUCUUGGAUGCAGCAGGGAGUUCCUCCGUCUCACCACCUCCCACGCAUGAUGAUGAACACGAUGAGGGGCUUGCGCUCGCUAUCAUUGCUGGCCAACAGCCUAUGGCGGUCAAUGAAUGCGAUGAUCCGGAAAGCGAGGUCGAUUUUGUCCCUCUCAGGGUCGUGAGGCCAGACGACGAGCAGCAAAAGCGCCCCGGUGGGCGGGUUAAAGUAUGUGCACAUAAACCUAAAACAAAGAAAAGGAACAGAGGUAGGCCGGCACGCGUCAGGUCUGCUAAGAGUAAUAUGUGGUGUAAACCGGAGUUUGUCUGCAACGACAACAUCAACAUUACCAGUAGUGAGACCGAGAGCGAGGGAAACAAAGACGAUGAUUAUGUUCCGACGGGGAAGAGAGGAAGGCAGGCACGCGCCAAGUCUGCAAAGACAAAGACGUGGCGAAAACCAGGGUUUGUUUACAGCGACAACUACAACAUUAGCAGCAGUGAGAGCGAGGGAAACAAAGAUGAUGAUUAUGAUCCGAUGGCACCUGAUGCUGAUGGCCACCCAAAGAAAUGUGCAAGAUCUCGAGUGUGUUUGACUCACACAACUGAAUGUACGAAUAAAAGAUCUCGAGGGAGGCCCGCACGCGCCAAGUCUGCUAAGAGCAAGAUGUGGCGUAACCCGGAGUUUGUUUGCGGCGACAACAUCAACAUUAGUAGCAGUAGUGAGAGCGAGAUUGAAAGAAACAACAAUGAUGAUGAUUAUGACCCGACGACACCUGAUGCUGAUGGCCACCGAAACAAAUAUGAAAGUUUCCAAGAUAUGCGUGGCUCUGCUUUUGAAAGAGCUUCGGAGGUAAAUAAGAAAUUGCCAAGAACAGAAGUAAGCUUGGUCAGGCGUAUGCUACCGUCACAUGUUGACAGGGUUUUUUGGAUGGGUCUCCCGCGUAGCUUUUGCAGACAGCAUCUUCCAAAGCAAGAUACUGUAAUGACUUUAGAAGACGAGGAAGGGCGCAGCUACCCUGCAAACUACCUUGUGGCAAGAGAUGGUCUUAGUGGUGGUUGGAAACACUUUGCGGAAGAUCAUAGACUCAAGGUCGACGACGCCCUGGUCUUUCGACUCGUGGGCUCGGAAAAAUUCAAGGUGUAUAUAGUAAGAGAGGGUGAGUUGACAACAACAGAUUAUGAUGUCAGGUCUAAGGAAGAGGAUGCGGAGGUUACAACCAGCACAACAACCUGUGAUGAUAUCAACAACCUAGCAGCCGGCGAAAAAGAUAAUGUCGACGUCAUGAUAUCUCCAGACGAUUCAGAGCCAGACGGCGGUGUUGACAGCAUGGUGAGCUUCAGCAGCUUCAACAUAGUCGUCAACAGUGUGCUGGACACCAACCGUGAAUUGUUCCCGGACCACCUGCGCGCGACAUACUACAAGCUCUGUCUUGCCCAGAAGGCGUGCCUCCACCGGAACCUGCUUGAGGAGGUGAACCCCAAGAUGGCUAUCGGAGCCAUGGUGGAGACCGCUAGCAUCGCCGAGGGCGUCAGGGCCUCCUCGCCCGCUUCUCGCGAGGACCUUGCGUAG